rnacentral:tRNA from 1 species
GGAAGGGUGCGUGAGCGGUUGAAACGGCACGACUGGAAAUCGUGUAGAGUGUAACAGCUCUCGGGGGUUCGAAUCCCCCCCCUUCCGCCG